rnacentral:rRNA from 1 species
GGGUUGUGAGGUUAAGCGACUAAGCGUACACGGUGGAUGCCCUGGCAGUCAGAGGCGAUGAAGGACGUGCUAAUCUGCGAUAAGCGUCGGUGAGGUGAUAUGAACCGUUAUAACCGGCGAUUUCCGAAUGGGGAAACCCAGUGUGUUUCGACACACUAUCAUUAACUGAAUCCAUAGGUUAAUGAGGCGAACCGGGGGAACUGAAACAUCUAAGUACCCCGAGGAAAAGAAAUCAACCGAGAUUCCCCCAGUAGCGGCGAGCGAACGGGGAGGAGCCCAGAGCCUGAAUCAGUGUGUGUGUUAGUGGAAGCGUCUGGAAAGGCGCGCGAUACAGGGUGACAGCCCCGUACACAAAAAUGCACAUAUUGUGAGCUCGAUGAGUAGGGCGGGACACGUGGUAUCCUGUCUGAAUAUGGGGGGACCAUCCUCCAAGGCUAAAUACUCCUGACUGACCGAUAGUGAACCAGUACCGUGAGGGAAAGGCGAAAAGAACCCCGGCGAGGGGAGUGAAAAAGAACCUGAAACCGUGUACGUACAAGCAGUGGGAGCCUCUUAAUGGGGUGACUGCGUACCUUUUGUAUAAUGGGUCAGCGACUUAUAUUCUGUAGCAAGGUUAACCGAAUAGGGGAGCCGAAGGGAAACCGAGUCUUAACUGGGCGUUAAGUUGCAGGGUAUAGACCCGAAACCCGGUGAUCUAGCCAUGGGCAGGUUGAAGGUUGGGUAACACUAACUGGAGGACCGAACCGACUAAUGUUGAAAAAUUAGCGGAUGACUUGUGGCUGGGGGUGAAAGGCCAAUCAAACCGGGAGAUAGCUGGUUCUCCCCGAAAGCUAUUUAGGUAGCGCCUCGUGAAUUCAUCUCCGGGGGUAGAGCACUGUUUCGGCAAGGGGGUCAUCCCGACUUACCAACCCGAUGCAAACUGCGAAUACCGGAGAAUGUUAUCACGGGAGACACACGGCGGGUGCUAACGUCCGUCGUGAAGAGGGAAACAACCCAGACCGCCAGCUAAGGUCCCAAAGUCAUGGUUAAGUGGGAAACGAUGUGGGAAGGCCCAGACAGCCAGGAUGUUGGCUUAGAAGCAGCCAUCAUUUAAAGAAAGCGUAAUAGCUCACUGGUCGAGUCGGCCUGCGCGGAAGAUGUAACGGGGCUAAACCAUGCACCGAAGCUGCGGCAGCGACACUAUGUGUUGUUGGGUAGGGGAGCGUUCUGUAAGCCUGUGAAGGUGGCCUGUGAGGGUUGCUGGAGGUAUCAGAAGUGCGAAUGCUGACAUAAGUAACGAUAAAGCGGGUGAAAAGCCCGCUCGCCGGAAGACCAAGGGUUCCUGUCCAACGUUAAUCGGGGCAGGGUGAGUCGACCCCUAAGGCGAGGCCGAAAGGCGUAGUCGAUGGGAAACAGGUUAAUAUUCCUGUACUUGGUGUUACUGCGAAGGGGGGACGGAGAAGGCUAUGUUGGCCGGGCGACGGUUGUCCCGGUUUAAGCGUGUAGGCUGGUUUUCCAGGCAAAUCCGGAAAAUCAAGGCUGAGGCGUGAUGACGAGGCACUACGGUGCUGAAGCGACAAAUGCCCUGCUUCCAGGAAAAGCCUCUAAGCAUCAGGUAACAUCAAAUCGUACCCCAAACCGACACAGGUGGUCAGGUAGAGAAUACCAAGGCGCUUGAGAGAACUCGGGUGAAGGAACUAGGCAAAAUGGUGCCGUAACUUCGGGAGAAGGCACGCUGAUAUGUAGGUGAAGCGACUUGCUCGUGGAGCUGAAAUCAGUCGAAGAUACCAGCUGGCUGCAACUGUUUAUUAAAAACACAGCACUGUGCAAACACGAAAGUGGACGUAUACGGUGUGACGCCUGCCCGGUGCCGGAAGGUUAAUUGAUGGGGUUAGCGGUAACGCGAAGCUCUUGAUCGAAGCCCCGGUAAACGGCGGCCGUAACUAUAACGGUCCUAAGGUAGCGAAAUUCCUUGUCGGGUAAGUUCCGACCUGCACGAAUGGCGUAAUGAUGGCCAGGCUGUCUCCACCCGAGACUCAGUGAAAUUGAACUCGCUGUGAAGAUGCAGUGUACCCGCGGCAAGACGGAAAGACCCCGUGAACCUUUACUAUAGCUUGACACUGAACAUUGAGCCUUGAUGUGUAGGAUAGGUGGGAGGCUUUGAAGUGUGGACGCCAGUCUGCAUGGAGCCGACCUUGAAAUACCACCCUUUAAUGUUUGAUGUUCUAACGUGGGCCCCUUACCGGGGUUGCGGACAGUGUCUGGUGGGUAGUUUGACUGGGGCGGUCUCCUCCUAAAGAGUAACGGAGGAGCACGAAGGUUGGCUAAUCCUGGUCGGACAUCAGGAGGUUAGUGCAAUGGCAUAAGCCAGCUUGACUGCGAGCGUGACGGCGCGAGCAGGUGCGAAAGCAGGUCAUAGUGAUCCGGUGGUUCUGAAUGGAAGGGCCAUCGCUCAACGGAUAAAAGGUACUCCGGGGAUAACAGGCUGAUACCGCCCAAGAGUUCAUAUCGACGGCGGUGUUUGGCACCUCGAUGUCGGCUCAUCACAUCCUGGGGCUGAAGUAGGUCCCAAGGGUAUGGCUGUUCGCCAUUUAAAGUGGUACGCGAGCUGGGUUUAGAACGUCGUGAGACAGUUCGGUCCCUAUCUGCCGUGGGCGCUGGAGAACUGAGGGGGGCUGCUCCUAGUACGAGAGGACCGGAGUGGACGCAUCACUGGUGUUCGGGUUGUCAUGCCAAUGGCACUGCCCGGUAGCUAAAUGCGGAAGAGAUAAGUGCUGAAAGCAUCUAAGCACGAAACUUGCCC